rnacentral:rRNA from 1 species
GGGGUGCCCAGGCGCGAAAACUUUGCAAUACACGAAAGUGUGACAGGGUUAUCCCGAGUGCCGACCGCUGAGGUUGGCUUUUACCCAGUCUAGAAAGCUGGGGGAAUAAGGAGAGGGCAAGUCUGGUGUCAGCCGCCGCGGUAAUACCAGCUCUCCGAGUGGUGUGGACGUUUAUUGGGCCUAAAGCAUCCGUAGCUGGCUGGACAAGUCCCCUGUUAAACCCACCGAUUUAAUCGUUGGCGUGCGGGGGAUACUGCUCGGCUAGGGGACGAGAGAGGCAGACGGUAUUCCCGGGGUAGGGGUGAAAUCCUAUAAUCCCGAGAAGACCACCAGUGGCGAAGGCUGUCUGCUAGAACACGCCCGACGGUGAGGGAUGAAAGCUGGGGGAGCGAACCGGAUUAGAUACCCGGGUAGUCCCAGCUGUAAACGAUGCAGACUAGGUGUUUGGACGGCCACGUGCCGUUCUAGUGCCGCAGGGAAGCUGUUAAGUCUGCCGCCUGGGGAGUACGAUCGCAAGAUUGAAACUUAAAGGAAUUGGCGGGGGAGCAC